AGAAUCAACGCUGGCGGCGUGCCUAACACAUGCAAGUCGCACGAGAAAGGGGAGCAAUCCCUGAGUAAAGUGGCGCACGGGUGAGUAACACGUGAAUAAUCUACCUCCGAGUGGGGAAUAACUGAGAGAAAUCUUAGCUAAUACCGCAUAACACUUACGAGUCAAAGCAGCAAUGCGCUUGGAGAGGAGUUCGCGGCCGAUUAGUUAGUUGGCGGGGUAAUGGCCACCAAGACGAUGAUCGGUA
rnacentral:rRNA from 1 species